CCAAAGGCUCUUUUCAGAGCCACCUACUCCAUCAAAACAGAGUUGU
rfam:Mesocricetus auratus contig023758, whole genome shotgun sequence.